rnacentral:rRNA from 1 species
CCUACGGGGGGCUGCAGUGGGGAAUAUUGGGCAAUGGGCGCAAGCCUGACCCAGCAACGCCGCGUGAAGGAAGAAGGCUUUCGGGUUGUAAACUUCUUUUGUCAGGGACGAAGCAAGUGACGGUACCUGACGAAUAAGCCACGGCUAACUACGUGCCAACAGCCGCGGUAAUACGUAGGUGGCAAGCGUUAUCCGGAGUUACUUGGUGUAAAGGGCGUGUAGGCGGGGAAGAAAGUCAGAUGUGAAAACCACGGGCGCAACCUAGGGCCUGCAUUUGAAACUGUUUUGCUUGCGUGCUGGAGAGGCGAUCGGAAUUACGUGUGUAGCGGUGAAAUGCGUAGAUAUACGGAGGAACACCAGUGGCGAAGGCGGAUUGCUGGACAGUAACUGACGCUGAGGCGCGAAAGCGUGGGGAGCAAACAGGAUUAGAUACCCUGGUAGUC